rnacentral:rRNA from 1 species
UUCCAGACUCCUACGGGAGGCAGCAGUGGGGAAUAUUGGACAAUGGGGGGAACCCUGAUCCAGCGACGCCGCGUGAGUGAAGAAGUAUUUCGGUAUGUAAAGCUCUAUCAGCAGGGAAGAAAGAAAUGACGGUACCUGACUAAGAAGCCCCGGCUAACUACGUGCCAGCAGCCGCGGUAAUACGUAGGGGGCAAGCGUUAUCCGGAUUUACUGGGUGUAAAGGGAGCGUAGACGGCGAUGCAAGUCUGAAGUGAAAGGCGGGGGCCCAACCCCCGGACUGCUUUGGAAACUGUAUGGCUGGAGUGCAGGAGAGGUAAGUGGAAUUCCUAGUGUAGCGGUGAAAUGCGUAGAUAUUAGGAGGAACACCAGUGGCGAAGGCGGCCUGCUGGACGACAACUGACGGUGAGGCGCGAAAGCGUGGGGAGCAAACAGGAUUAGAUACCCGUGUACCU